CUUUAGAUUUACUCUACCCAUUUCCCCUUUCUUUUGUGUUUUAUGGAAGAUUUCCUCUCUCAAAAUUUUCUCUUCGCUCCCCGAUGUCAAGGUUUUGAUUAAUUUGGCGGCACUGUUAUUUGUUACCCAGGGCUUUAUUGUGAUUUUUAAGCAGUAUGAACGGUUGGUUUAUGGAGUUUGUUUGGAGUUUUUCGAAAUUAGGCUGAAUUGGUUUUCGUAAUCUACGUGUUCAGAAAAUUCCUUCUAGGUUACAAUCAAAUCUGAAUACUGCUUUUGGUUUUGGUUUUCAAAGGGCCGUGAUAUUAAGAAAAUCUCAAUCCUCCUAUUUAAUUAAAGCUUGUUUUCCUAGGAAAAAUUCUAGGGUUGUUGUACUCGGCUCAACUUGUGAAGCAUUGAAUUAUUCAAGUGUUCGAUGUAAUAGAAUAGCCACGACAGUUUUUGGUACUACAAUUGCUGUAGGAGAUCUUGUUGUCGAUACUUUAGUCUUAGGUUGUGGAAAUGCCUCAACUUUUGCGAAGCCCAGUGGUGUCUAUUUUAGUGAUAGGAACAGUAAGAAUUGUCGGAAGGCUAGAGUGAGUUUGAGAAAUGGAGCAGCUAAUGGCCUUAAGGGAGUCCAAGUAUAUUUUAUGUUUGAUCUUACGGAAAGGUCUUACAUAUCUAAUCUGCCUCUUGGAACACGGCAAAAUAAUCAUUAAUCCUUGGUGAAUGGGUUCUAAAACUACUUUUCGGAGCAUGUUACAUGCCUCAUUCUGCUAAAGAAGAAACUGGUGGGGAAGAUGCUCAUUUUAUAUAUGUGGAUGAGCAAGCAAUUGGAGUUGCCGAAGGAGUUGAUGGUUGGGCACAUGUUGGUAUUAAUGCUGGAGAAUAUGCUCGUGAGCUCAUGACUAAUUCAGUGCCGGCAAUUCGAGAUGAACCUAAUGGUGAUAUUGACCCGUUGCAGGUAUUAGAAAAGGUGCAAGCAAAGACUAAAGCCAUGGGUUCCUCAACAGCAUGCAUUAUUGCCCUUAAAAAUCAGGAACAUAAGUCAUGCAAAUGGUUCCUUUCUCAACUUUCUCCUUUAUGAAGUGUUUGUCAACUUCUAUACGCUUAGUACAAUCAUGUUGGACUGGAUUAAGUGAGAUAUUGAUUGUUGCCUUGUUAUCACAAAAGACUUUGAUGGGAAAUUUUGCUUUGUCAUGCAAUUCUUCUGGGAGCUUUCUCAGCCACAGCCCUUCACAUAUUCCUUGUGCUACGGCUCUAAAUUCAGCUUUAGCGCUACUUCUGGCAACCACAUUUUGUUUCUUACUCCUCCAAGUUACAAGAUUUCCCCACAUAUAGGUGCAAUAGCCAGUAUUUGAUCUUCUAUCUUCUAUUGAACCUGCCCAAUCUGCAUCUGUAAAGGUUUCAAUCUCUUUUUUUCACUUUUUUUGAAGAACAGUCCCUUAAGGUAUCUCAGUAUCUUAUACACUGCUUUCAGGUGACUUUCCUUUGGUGUCUGCAUAUGUUGACUUACACGGCUCACUGCAAAUGCAAUAUUAGGUCUAGUGUGUGAUAAGCAUAUUAACUUUUCGAGCAUUCUUUGGUAUCCAUCUCUUUCCACUUCCUUUCAAUCCUCUUUAGGUUUUUUUCCUGCUUCGAUAGGUGUAUCACUCGAUUUACAAUGUAGCGUCCUUGUUCUGGUUAAGAGAUCAAUGACUUUUUCGUUGUGAAACAAUAAUUCCACCUUUUGAUCUUGCCACCUUCAUUCCCAUGAAAUCUCACAUUUGUCCCAAAUCCUUCACCUCGAAUUCGGUGGCAAGGCAUUUCUUUAGUCUUUCAGUCUCCGCUACAUUGUCACGUUAGAACAAUAUCAUCAACAUAUACAAUUAAGAUUGUCUUUGUUAAAACAUAGUAUGAUCUGACUGUUAUUGUUGAUAUCCUUGACCUUUUAGCACAUUUGCGAAUCUGUCAAACCAUGUCCUUGGUAACUGUUUUAGUCCGUAUAGAGACUUCUUGAGUUUGCAUACUUUAUUUACUUCAUCAACUCUACUGAACCUAGGUGGUAAAGUCAUGAAAACUUCCUCAUCUAAUUCUCCGUUCAAAAAGACAUUUUUAAUGUCAAGUUGUAGUGGCCAAUCUAAGUUGGCUGCUAAGGAUAGAAGAACCCAGAUUGUAUUCAAUUUCGCUGCUGGUGCAAACGUUUCUGUGUAGUCAAUGCCAUAGGUUUGUGUGUAUCCUUUUUGCAACAAAUCAAGCUUUGUACCAUUCUAUCGUCCCAUCAGCUCUGUAUUUCAAAUUGAAGACCCAUUUGUACCCAACUAGUUUCUUUCCUUUCAGUAGGUUUAAUACCUCCCAAGUCUCAUUUUUUUCUAGUGCCCUCAUCUCCUCCAAUAUAGCUUCCCUCCAUUUAGGAACUUUCAAGGCUUCUCCAAUAUUUCUCAGGAUCUUUGUGUUGUUAAGAUGAGAUGUAAAAUGAUGAAAUCUAGUAGAUAAAGCAUUAUAAUUAUAAAUUUUGAAAAUAGGGUAGAGAGUACAUAAUCGAGUAGGUUUUCUGAGAGCAAUGGGUAAGUCAGGAAUAUCUUAAGCUUUUUGAGGAGCCAUCAUCGGUUCUGACUCUUUUGGUGCCUCAGAUGUAAUGGUUUCUUUUUACUUUGAUUUUGGCUUUCGUGAGUAAACUAGUAAGUCUUUAUUACUUUGUUUUUCCACAUCUCUCCCUGGCUGUAAGUUGUCCUCUGUUAAUGGCAUACUAAAUGGUGAUAUAGGGCUGUUGGUAAAUGUAGGUUCGAGAAAAUUGAGGUCAAUGUCUAGGGACCGAUCUUCAUGUAGUGUCUCCUCCUGAAGAGAGGUUUCUGGGAUAUACAGGGUCGUUGCGAAGAAGAUGACAUCAAGACUCUCAAAUUUUUUUUCGUGGAGGGAUCAUAGCAUUUGUAACCCUUUUAAGUAAGGGAAUAUCCGAUCAGAACACAUUUAACUGCUCGAGGAUCCAGUUUACCUUGGCGAUGAGAAUGAAUAUGAAUGAAAGCAGUACAUCCAAGCACCCGUAAGGGUAGGUUGGCGUUGAAGCCAGAGGUAGGAAACAAUGUUUGAAUUUUUUGGAGGGAGAUUCGAAGUUUAAGGCAUGACUCGGCAUUCUAUUGAUUAGAUAGGUGGAUGUCCGGAUUGCAUCCCCCAGAACAUUUUUGGCAUAUUAGAAGUGAACAUCAAUGCAAGAGCAACUUCUAGAAUGUGUCUAUUCUUGCGUUUGACAAUCCAAUUUUGUUGGAAGGAAUCAACGCAAAAGCUUUGAUGAAUUAUUCCAUGUAAUUGGAGAAAAUUACCCAUAGUGGUAUUGAAGUAUUCAGUGUCAUUAUCCGUACGUAAAAUUUGAAUUUGUGUUUGGAUCAUGGAGUAAAAGUUGAUGAAUACAGAGCAAAUAUCUGAUUUAUCUUUUAGUAGGUAUACCCGUGAUUGUAAAUGAACACCACAAACCACUUUGCAUGAGUCCAAAUGGGAAUUCGUGAGGGACCCCAUAAGUCGCUAUAUAUCAUAGUAAAUGGCUUGAAUGGUUUGUAUGUGGAGGUUGGGAAUGAUGUACGUUGAUGUUUUGCAAACUCACAUAUUUCACGUUGAAUAUCAAUGGAAUUUUUAUUCAUAGAAAUUGAUGAGAGAGCAUGUUUUAGGUACUGAAAGUUUGGAUGACUCAUUCUAAAAUAUCAUAACAAAAUAUCACUAUCACUAGAGACAGAUGUAGAAUUACAAAUGGUAACUUGACUUUGUUUACCCACAUUUAUCUCAUCAAAGUAAUAGAGUCCUUCACUUUUCUUAACACUGCCAAUUGUUUUUCCCAAUGAUAGGUAUUGAAAACCCCAAUAAAAUGAGAAAAAUUUAGUAGAACAAUUUGAGGUUUUUGUCAAUUAGCUUAUGGAUAGUAAAUUACACGACAACUUUGGAAAGUGAAGGACAUAUUCUAAAGUUGUAGAGUUAGAAAUUUUUAUACUUCCUUUUCUUGCAACCAAAGACAAUGAGCCAUCUGCAAUUUUAACUUUCAGAUUGCUAGCAUAGGUAGAGUAUGUAGUGAACACUUGGUAGAAAUUUGUCAUAUGGUCUGAAGCUCCUAAGUCAAUAAUCCAGAGAAUUUUAGAUUGAGUAAUAGACUGUAACUAGCUUAAAAAAUUACCUCUGUGGGCUAAUGAGUUAAGAGGGAUUUUUUGUGGAUGUUUGACUUGAUGAUUGGAGGCUAGAAAACAUUUUGUAUAGUUGCUCCAUUUGUUCAGUAUUGAAUGCACCACUUGACUCAGUCUUUCCCAUUUGGUAAUCAACAGAUGCUUGAUACCCACGAUUUUUAUUAUUUUGUUUCGAUUUCCCGUGUAAAUCCCAACAAAUAUCCUUUUUGUGUCCUGGUUUUCGACAAUGCUCACACCACGGCUAACCUCGUUGUUUUGGACCUGGCCCAGUUGUGCCUCCCUUAGAAUAUAGGCCCAUCAUCCAAGGUCCAUUAUUUAACUUAUUUGGUCCAAUAUUCAAGCCCAUUCAAUUAUUAAACCCAGCUGGUCCAUUUGCCACUAGUUGGCCCAACAGUAGGUCUACUGCCUUCUUUAUUCUUCAACCCAUAUCCAGACAACUCAAGUUUGUUGGAAAUUAGUCCCGACACUUCCAAGUUCCAUCGCCGAUGCAUUGGACUCGCUCAGGAUGAUCUUCUAUCGGUCUUCUUCCCGUCUCACCUCCGAAAAGACUUCCCUCAGCGAGGGAAGGGGAUGUUGGCCAAGUAUCAGACUGCGAACCUCACCGAGGUCGCGAUGAAGACCUGCGAGCAACUCGAACACCCUGUCGAUUUCCAGCUUCUUUGUGUACAG